rnacentral:rRNA from 1 species
UACGGAGGAUGCAAGCGUUAUCCGGAAUGAUUGGGCGUAAAGCGUCCGCAGGUGGCAAUGUAAGUCUGCUGUCAAAGCGUCUGGCUCAACCAGAUAAAGGCAGUGGAAACUACAUAGCUAGAGUAAGGUAGGGGUAGAGGGAAUUCCUGGUGUAGCGGUGAAAUGCGUAGAGAUCAGGAAGAACACCGGUGGCGAAGGCGGUCUGCUGGGCAGUAGCUGACGCUGAGGCGCGACAGCGUGGGGAGCAAACAGG